rnacentral:lncRNA from 1 species
AGCUGACUCAAUUGCCAGAGACUUCCGUUUGCUAGGGAUCCUAGAAGUUCGUCCUGAGCUGAAGCUGAGUGCUGCUCAUUCAGCCUCAUCUAUAAAUUGUGAUUCCCAGCACUGAAAUAAUCGUGCGAGAGCCCAACAUUAUGUUUAAGUAAAUUAAACUUCAGCUAUGUCAGAUAUGUUUGAAUUAAACUAAUACCCAUUGUCAAAAGUUUCCUUUUGCAGAGCUAAUGUAAACUUGCUAAGAAGUUAGGAAGGCUCUCAAGCACAACACAUCAUGCAGAUAGGACGGAUUCACUGCCAUGGUGAGCAUUUCAAAAGCAGAGAUUUAACACUUUGGGACACACACUGGACUGGACUGGAUGAUGUUCCCCCCAUACCAAUGUGUACAUGUGAGUGUGCUGGAUGGGAGGAGAGGGUCAUUGUGCUCAUGAAAGUAUCACCCAAUACAGUAUGUUGGCUUGAGAAACCUACAGCAGGAGUGGGAUGCCCUUUUCAGCCUGAGAACUGCAUUGCCUCUUGGGAAAUCUUCCAUGAGCCACAUGGAAGUGCUGGACAGGGCCAGAGGCAAAAGUGGAUGGAGUAACCCUUGUAUAAUAGGCUGCAUUGCAACGGAUGAUAAAGGUGCCUAGACACAUCUCUCUCCAUCCAGGGAAGCAAGAGGUGCUAUCGCAAGGAAAGGCAAAGGCACCUGAAGAGGCUGCAGAGCAUGGACCAGUGAGGGGUGGGGUCUCAGAAGAAGGGGUCCAGUCUGGAGAUGCAGCACUGCCUGGGAAAAGUCCUGAAGGCCAGAACUGAGGAUCCUACCCCUGACCUAGAUCAAAGAAGAAACCGAAACAGAUGCAACAUUUUAGCAAUGGCUUUUUAGCUAAGGGUGGGACUUUUUAUCAUUUAAAUACAGUCAUGCAGAAUAUUAAAAUUGGGGUGUGGAGGUGGUACACUUUUCAGCACAAAUGCUUCCAUCUUACAUCAACAUUAUGCUGCACUUAAGAGGCUACAGGUGAAUUGGUUUGGCAUGGUAAUAAUCAUAAACAUGAUUUUAUUAUUUAUAUGCCACCCAUAUGACUGGGUUGCCCCAGCCACUCUGGGCUGCUUCCAGCAAAAUAUAAAAACACAAUAAAACAUCAAACAUUAAAAACUUCCCUGAAUAAAGCUGCCUUCAGAUGUCUUCUAAAAGUUAUAUAGUUGUUUAUCUGUUUGGCAUCUGAUGAGAGGGUGUUCCACAGAGUGGGCGCCGUUACCAAGAAGACCCUCUGCCUGAUUCCCUGUAACUUCACUUCUCACAGUGCAGGAACCACCAGAAGGCCCUCUGGGCUAGACCUCAGUGUCUGGGCUGAAUGAUGGAGGUGGAAACACAGAGGUUGCUAUGGACCAAGGCCUAGCAGUCACCAUCUACAGCUGCUGCAUUAUUUUGUUCAAACUGGCCCAAGAAUAUACAAGGACAUCGAAAGGUAAAGGGGCCCUUGACUGUUAAGUCCAGUCGUGAACGACUCUGGGGUUGUGGCGCUCAUCUCGCUUUACUGGCCGAGGGAGCUGGCGUUUGUCCACAGACAGUUUUUCUGGUCAUGUGGCCAGCAUGACUAAGCUGCUUCUGGUGAACCACAGCAGUGCACGGAAACACCGUUUACCUUCCCGCUGGAGUGGUACCUAUUUAUCUACUUGCACUUUGACAUGCUUUUGAACUGCUAGGUUGGCAAGAGUUGGGACCGAACAAUGGGAGCUCACCCCAUCGCGGGGAUUCGAACCGCCAACCUUCUGAUCGGCAAGCCCUAGGCUCUAUGGUUUAGACCACAGUGCCACCAUGCAUAUGGUGCUGUCUCAAACUGUCCUGUAUGGACUUCAGCAGGUUGCUUGCCAUGUUCCUUUCAGAAACAAUAAGGCCAAAUGAUACAGUGUUGCAUGGCACUCACUGGUUUAUACUUCUUUGCUAAAAUAUGACCGUUCUCUGGUGCCGAAAAGGCUUUCUGCUGCCAAGUCUAUCAUCAAAUUAAGAUGUAAGGAUAUUGCUGCUUUAUUCAACUGGAUGAGCCAGGCCUGGCCCUAUCCUUAGUCACUAUGAAUUGAGAUGCCUCAGGCUAAAAGCUUUGGGCACCAGUGCUUGCUAAAGAAUAAACUGCCAGUAGUAGUUGUUGUUGCUGGGAGAGAAGUGGGAAUUAGGAUUUUAAACCUCAGUCCUGAAAUGCCUUGUGAUGUGGCAUCUAUUCCAGGGGUAGUCAACCUUUUUAUACCUACCGCCCACUAAUGCAUCUUUCUUGAUGGUAAAAUUCCCUUACUGCCCACCAGUGCUUGAUGGAAGGAGGAUUCAGCUUGUGUCGUAGAACCCCCUACCGCCCACCUAGAAUCCUGAAAUGCCCACUAGUGGGCCGUAGGGACAAGGUUGACAACUCCUGAUCUAUUCAAUCUGCAACCAUGUCUUCACAGCAUGUACAGAAAGAACUUUUGUGGUAUGCAGAGCUACUCAUGAAACAUGACUUAGCAUCUGUAGUGGGAAGUGGUUUUGGUUUCUUUGGCUCUUUUACCCUGAUGAGCUUCUGUUUUGUUUUUUUCCUGUGUGAGAUAAGUUGCUUAUUUGUUAUCUGUGAAUUUGAGCCAACUGAGUGUCUUGUUAUCCUAUGGGCAGGAGCUCAAACGUUCGUUGCAGGGCAAAAUGAGAAAGGCUGCAAUCAGAUACAUACUUAAGGAGGAAUGUGCAGGCAGGCAUAGGAUUGGAAUGAAAUUCUUGUUUCAAAAGAGAAAGCCUUCACUGUCCUGUUCCUGGCAUAAUUGUGCUCCUGCUGCAUGAAAACGAUACCAUUAAUUACAAAAUAGGUGGCAAAUUCUGCCGGCCAAAUAAAACCUCUCUCUCCCUCUCCCUCUAUCCUCUACUCCUGCAGUG